AGUCACUGGGGAAAAUCCAACCAUAUUUGAGAGACAACUGGAAGUCAGUACAGUAUUUUGAGAAAGAGACUGGCAUGCCUAAUUGGUUACUUGAUGGACCAAUUGCGGGGAAAGGAUAAAUUGGAGUUGGGAGAGACAAGAGAUCAAUAAGGAAAUUAAUAAGUAGACUCUGGUGGGGGGCUAUGGUUAGAGGGAUGGAGAGAGCAUUUAACAAGAUGCUGACAGACGUAGUCAUCAAUCUUAUAUAACCCUGCCUGGUAGAAAUACUUCUGCUUAUCUCAGCCUAAAUAGUAGAAGAGACAACUGAAUAAGAAUGAAGAAUUUUGAACAUCUUUUCUUUAUGAAUCCUGUUUGCAGAUUUAAGUGGUCAACAUGAUUAUUUUCAAAGUAGAAUACAGGUUUUUGUACCAGGA